CGGAAGACCAUGUUAAAUGCAACCAAAAUGGCCGGGCGCAGGUGGCUCACGCCUGUAAUCCCUGCACUUUGGGAGGCUGAGGUGGGCGGAUCACGAGGUCAGCAGUACAAGAUCAGCCUGGCCAACAUGGAGAAACCCCAUCUCUACUAAAAAUAUAAAAAAUUAGCUGCGCCUGGUGGCUGACUCCUAUAAUUCCAGCUACUAGGGAGGCUGAGGCAGGAGAAUCGCUUGAACUCGGGAGGCAGAGGUUGCAGUGAGCCAAGAUCCCGCCACUGCACUCCAGCCUGGGUGAUAAGAGAGAAACUUCAUCUCAAAAAAAAGAAAAAAAAAAAAAAAACUAAAAAAAUGUUUACUUACUGUAAUAUCUGAGAGACAACGAUAAAGGUAGUUGUUCUACAACAAAAGUUUUCUUAAAAAGACGAUUAUAAGCUUAUAUUAGACUCAAUGGAUACCAGAGAAAGUGGUAUGUUCAGUGUUUCACCACCACCCAUAUAAUCAGAGAUUUCCCAUUCAGGAGUUUGCAGUUUAACCAAGCAAAGGUUAAGAAGACAUAUCUUGCAUCAUUUAAAAGACUGCACCAAAUAAUAAGAAGAAAAGGGGCUAAGAUAAAAUUGCAUUUAUGUUGUGUAAAAAAUGAUUUUAAAACUUCAUUGAUAGGAGUGGCAUUUCACUGAAAGUUUAAAACACUGCCAUCUUUUACAUAAUUAUUUGGUAUCUAGUAAAUUAGAAUAUCUAGACAUGAAAAAGUCAAACGGGAAAAUGUCUUUUAAAAAGAAUAUUAUACAUACUGAAGAAAAGAUAUCUGUGAGGCUUAUCCAGGCCUCACCUAACAGCAAGUACUCCUUGAUUCACAAUUCCUCUUCAAAGAAUUGGUUUCUCCUUCAACACCUGGGCCACUCUCCUUCCCAAACACUGGCUGAGAAGAACGAGGGCCUGCAUUCCCUGUUGAACUCAGAGCAAGCUGUUGGGUGCAUAACUGCGCUAGUCAAGUGAAGCAGCGGGAGUGGAGAAGGAACAAAGAAAUCUGUAACUGGCUGUGAUCAAUUAGUUGUAAAUACCACUGCCCUCAGACCAGCGUCUGAUUUCUCAAGAGAUCUUUUUUCUUGUAUAUUAAGCUUAUUCUGGGUUCAAAAUAAGAUUUGCUUCAUAGAUAGUGAUGUAUACAGUGGUAAUAAAAAGAAAAGUAAAUCGACAAAUACUUAGGGAAAAACUUUUAAUAAUCCUCAUGCAAUCCGUGUAGGCUUGUUUAUUUUUAAGCCCUGAAAAUCUCUUACACCCAGUGACUGCUGGUUUCCACGGCAGGACUUAGAAGCGUCCCACCCUGAUUGCACCUGUCUCCCCUUUCCCCUCCUGCUCCCAAAGUUUCCUUUCUGGAGGGUGAAGGCAGCAUUCCUCAGGAGUGGAUUCUUCAACGCUUUUCCCGGCUGCCCGGCUCCACGUGACAGCCCCUAACACCUGUACCGCCUCCAGCUCACAGCGCCCCCAUUCCCUCCGGCAGGUACAGACCCAGCCGGUCUCCCCCUCCCCCAGGAGGUCACGAUCCCGGUGCGAGUCUCGCUCGGGCCGGCAGGGGAGGGGCUAACCAACGGCCACCGCAGCAGCCUGAGCCCUUGCAGCCUGAUUAUCACAUGACUCGGCAGCGGUAGCCGUGGCAGCAGCCGCGGCGGCUCCGCGGGCUCGCCGGGUGGGCUCAGUUCCGCGCACGCUGGAGCCGAGUGCAGGGGGCGGGGAAGGGACCUGCUGCAACUGCAGCUGCCUGGUCGCUACUGGAGCGCGCGGUGACUCCCCCCGCCGGCCCGCUCCAUGCCGCUCCGUUGCGGAAGUGUAGCGUGGGGAGGCGGCUGCCGCCGCGGCACGGAGCACGAGAGGCCGGGGCCCGGCCCCCUGCAGCACUAGGCUCUGGGAGCCGCGCGCGGCGCGUCCCAGCGGCCCGGCUCCCCGUGCGCCAGGCGCCCACCGCAGCCUGCAUGCCCCGCGCUGCGCCUCGCCCGGCCCCCGCCGCCUCCUGCUCGCACCGCUG
ensembl:lncRNA